CUCCGUGCUAGGCGCGGCAUUCGCGGCGUCCAAAGGGAGUAACGGCUGUGCCCUCGAGGAGCUUGCGUGAGGUUAUGCACAACAAACAGUUGCUAACGCCACAUAAAGUCAAAAUAUGACCGGUGUUUAAAGAUGAGUGAAAACAUCCUUAAGGAUCAAACCAACAUGUAGACUCACCUUUGGGAGCCACUGCCCUGGUCCACCUUCAUGUAUCAGCACCACGGAGAGCAGCUCACCUCAUACCAGCCCUGUAAUGCUUGAGUCACUCAAAUGGUGGUAAAGAGGCAAACUAGAUUGUUUCUAAUCGGUAUGGGAACUGAGGACUGCAGAAUGGGAAGAAUACUGAGGCUACCUGGUGAUGCCUCUCCCAGUGCUCCUUCAGGAUGCUGCUUCCAUCGGUGUUAAGCCCUGGAUUAACUCUGCUGAGAGGCCCGCAGACACAUAGGACCGAUGCUCUUGAGACACCAGAGAUCUCUCUCUUUGCACAAGGAAGAGGCCAUGUGAAGACACAGUGAGAAGGCAGCCAAAUCCAAGCCUGGAAGAGAAACGUCACCAGAAAUCAACCCAGAUGGCACCUUGAUCUUGGACUUCUAACUUCCUGAACUAAGCAUCAUCCCCAGCUGGAAACAUGCUGCAGCUGUGCACCACAGAUGCUAACUGAAUUGAGGAGGCCACACAGAACAGCAAGGAAUAGUCUUGAGCCAAGGAAACCAGCCCUUAAAUCAACUCACAGCUUCCAUUAAGGUUUUAUGCCAUAGGACACCUAAGAGCUCAGAAGGCUCCAAGCCAAAGCAGCUUGUAGCCCGGCACCUGGCACAUUGCAGGUGCUCUGUGAUAUUUAUUGCACAAAUGCCAUUGAAUGGAGCUGAAUUUUUAGCAGCAUUGGUGCAAUGUACAGAGCCCAGAGCCAGGGGUUCAGAAGAGUGCCCCUCAGGGAAACAGUUCAUCAAUUCAUCCUGGUUCUGCCGUUAAUAGAUACCCAACUUCAGGCCCUGAUAAUCACCAGUUUGUGUUCUGUCUCUAUGGAUUGACCUCUUCUGGAUAUUUCAUAUGGAUGGAAUCAUACAUGUGGACUUUUGUGUCUGGCUUCUUUCACUAAGUGUAAUGUUUUCAAGGUUCAUACACAUUGUAGUGUGUAUCAGCACUUCAUUCCUUUUUAUAAUCGAAUAAUAUUCUGUCAUAUGGAUAUGCCACAUUUUGUUUAUUCAUUUGUGCAUUGAUGGACAUUUGGGCUGCUUUGGGCUAUUGUGAGUAGUACUGCUGUGAACCUGCAUGUACAUGUAUUUGUUUUAGCACCAAUUUUCAGUUCUUCUGGGUAUAUACCUAGGAGUGGAAUUGAUGGGUCUGUGAACAAAGAAUGUCACCUGCCAUAUCAGUAAACAAAGGACGUUGCAGCCAUUGAGCCAUCAACCUCUGUAGCCACCCACAACGGUGCACCUUGAGGGGAUUCAGGAUGGAGUAAAACAGGAUACUGGCCCUAGAUAGUUAAGGUGUACAUCAAAGGAAUGAUUUCAGUCAACCCAGACCCUUGCAUCUUCCCAUACACAGAAAAGCACUAAAUUCACUAACUUGAGAUGUCUGUUUUUUCAUUCAUUAGAAUCUUUUGAUGUUUGACUGUGUUUUGUUUUGUUUGUUAGUUUUGCAAAACUCAUUUACAUCCUGGUUCUACCUUUACCUUUUCAGAACUAUCCCUCAGAGCUGAGAGGUUGUUUCCUGGGCUUAGGUCCUUAGUAUGUCUGCUGAAUAAAACAUAAUUCACAACUUUUAGGUUUUGUAUUUUUUUUUCAGUCAACAGUUUUUGCAGCCACAAAGGGACCCAGAGCAGACUUUUCUCCCUUGCCUAAACUCUACAAGGAUCCAGAGCCUAGGUACCAGCAGAGGAGUCUUGGGCCCAUCUGCCUCCUCAGAAAGUCCAGAUGAAUUUGGGCAUUGAUCUCUGCCAUUCAGCUAUGGACAGGAGUGCAGAAAAGAUUUAACACAGCAGGUCCGAGACUGCCAUCUUCAAAAAGUCCUGUUUGCAAGUCCUGUUGACUCUUGGAUAGCAUUUGAGAAUUUGGAUUUUAGAAGAGUCCCCACCAUUUUGAAAACUGCUAACUCUGGGAUGCUUCAAAGAAACCCUGAGACAUGUCAGAGAGAAAUGUUAAACUAAUUAGGCUUAUUUGGUAUGUUAAAUUACUUGAGAAGCACUGUCAAGUGAUUAGAGAUAAACCUUCUUAGGUUAUGUCAUAUGGGUAAAUGUCAUUAAAUUUUGGAACAUCUAUAUUAUAUGGAAUUCCUAAAAAUGAUAUGUCCUGGUAUAAGGCUAUCAGUCAUAAUUCUAGUUGUUAUCUUAAGAUGUUGUAUGUCACAGAAGUAUCCAAGUUUCUUGUCAAUUACAUUUUAAUCAAUCAGAUCUUAAC